AGUAGUGUAGCGGUGAAAUGCAUAGAUAUUACUCAGAACACCGAUUGCGAAGGCAGGUUACCAAGUUAUAACUGACGCUGAGGGACGAAAGCGUGGGGAGCGAACAGGAUUAGAUACCCUGGUAGUCCACGCCGUAAACGAUGCUAACUCGUUUUUGGGCUAUAUGGUUCAGAGACUAAGCGAAAGUGAUAAGUUAGCCACCUGGGGAGUACGACCGCAAGGUUGAAACUCAAAGGAAUUGACGGGGGCCCGCACAAGCGGUGGAUCAUGUGGUUUAAUUCGAUGAUACGCGAGGAACCUUACCAAGGCUUAAAUGGGAAUUGACAGCUGUAGAAAUACGGUUUUCUUCGGACAAUUUUCAAGGUGCUGCAUGGUUGUCGUCAGCUCGUGCCGUGAGGUGUUAGGUUAAGUCCUGCAACGAGCGCAACCCCUGUCACUAGUUGCCAUCAUUAAGUUGGGGACUCUAGUGAGACUGCCUACGCAAGUAGAGAGGAAGGUGGGGAUGACGUCAAAUCAUCACGGCCCUUACGCCUUGGGCCACACACGUGAUACAAUGGCCGGUACAGAGGGCAGCUACACUGCGAAGUG
rnacentral:rRNA from 1 species